UCUCAAGUCUCCAGAGCCAUUGGGAUUACAGGCAUGUGCCACUAUGCCCAGAUUUCACCUCUCUUUUUACAUUAUAAAUUCUAUGAGGGUUGGAAACAUAUCUAUAAUAUUUAUAGAUGUAUCUCCAAUGCCUAGAACUGCAGUGUUCGAUAUGAUAGCCACAUAUGAUUACUGAGCAUUUGAAAUGUGGAAGUUUGAAGUGAGAUGUACUCUAAACAUAAAAUGCAUACUGAAUUCAAAAGACUUAUUAUGAAAACAAAGUUUACAAAGUAUCUCAAUAGGUUUUUUUUUUCUACUGAGUAUAUAUUGCUAUGGUUUGAAUAUCCUCUUCAAAACACAUGUUGAGGUUUUAUAUCCAAUAUAGUGAUAUUGAGAGGUAGGGCCUUUAAGAGGUGAUUAGGUCAUGAGGGCUCUGUUUUUGUGAAUGGAUUAAUGCCAUUGUUGUUGGAGAUGGUUAAUUAUCAGGGGAGUGGGCUCCUGAUCAAAGGAUAAGUUCUAUCCAAUACCUUUUCUCUGUGUCCCAAAUUUCUGUUUGCCCUAUUAUAACAGCACAAAGGCUCUUGCCAGAUGCUGGUGCCAUCAUGCUACAGUUUGGACCCGCAGGGUGGUGUAUUGGGAGGUAGUAGAACUUUUAAGAGGUGGACCUGAUAGGACAUUGGGGUAGUGUACUUGAAGGGGAUUCUGGGACCCUGACUCAUUAUUCUCUCUUUCUUUUGCUUCCUGGCCAUAAGGUUAGUGUUUUUUCUUCUUGAUGUGCUCCUGUCAUGUUGUACUGCCUCACGGUAGGCCCAAAAGUAAUGGGGCCAAUUGAUCAUGGAUUGGAAUCUCCAAAACUGUGAGCUAAAACAAAUCUUUUCUCUUUAUAAGUUAAUUAUCUGAGAUACUUUGUUAGUGAUGGAAAGUUGACUAACACACAUACUCUUGAACUUCAUUAUCUCCCAAACCAUGAGUAGAAUAAAGUUCUAUUUUUGUAAUUUACCCAGGAUUCUACUACAGUAGAAAAAACAAACAAACAAAAAACAAAAAAAACCCCCCAAAACAACCAAUCAACCAACCAAACACACAAACAAAUAAAAACCAGACUAAGACAUGGUACAAUGACAAUAUGUUGGAUUGUUUGGUCAAUAUAUCAUUAAAAUUAUCUUUCCCUUGCUUUGAAUGUUGUUGUUUGAAAAUUUUAAAUUACAUAUUUGACUCACAUUUUGUUUCUAUUGGACAGUGCUAGUCUAGAACAAUGCAUUGCAUAAUCAAAUGUAUUUCCAUGAAUGAGGGAGUAAAGAAAAAAGAUAGUCAUACAAAUUGAUGUCAUUAUACUGGGAACUCUGGUGAAUUCAUAUUUUAAGGAUAGUUAGGACAAUAGAAGGAAGAGUAUCUAAUAAAAGAUAGACUUAAAAGGACAAUUUUGGGAAUAUUAAGCAUCAAGAUAAACUUUAGACUCCAGAAACACUGAUGACUCAAAAAAUCCUCCUUUUUGUAUGUUCAGAGCAAGAAAAAAAAGAAGAGGAUAUCCCUACUUUUUGGAAUAGAAUGGACAUCUUUGUGGCAGUUUCAGUGCUUGCUUACUGUAUUUCUAUAGGAUGGUGAUUGUGCUGGAGCCCAGCCCAGGAAGAUGGCACCUUCAGCAAUGCUGCAUCCCUCUUGUGGCUGCUGGUCCCACUGAGGUUCCCAAGAGGCUCUUAGCAGUGUCAAAAUCCUACCCGAAGGAGCCACAGAAUGUCAAGUUCAUAUAACUAUCAUUCUGACUUUGAGGUGGGAAUGUAUCGGGAGAGUAGAACCCUGGGUCUCUGAUAACUAUGAAGCCACAUGCUAGGCUUGGACCACCAAAUUCUGGCUGUGUUAUGCAUGACAGUGAGAUAAAACAUCUUAUUCUUUAAAAUAAAGAACUUCUGUUCCUUAAAUGCACCAUAGAAUGAAAAAAAAGAGAGAGAGUAAGACUAUAUUUGCAAACAUGUAUCUGACAUAAGUUUAGAAUCCAUAAUGUAUAACAUUUAUCAAUUGGUAACAAAAAGAUGACUUAAUAAAAAAUGGGCAUA